UGCCAAGUUCUGCUCCUGAUGUGAGAAGUA
rnacentral:piRNA from 1 species